GGCGGCAUGCUUAACACAUGCAAGUCGAACGGUAACAUGGAGAGCUUGCUCUCUGAUGACGAGUGGCGGACGGGUGAGUAAGGCGUAGGAAUCUGCCCAACAGUGGGGAAUAACCUGGGGAAACCCAGGCUAAUACCGCAUACGCUCUGUACUUAGGUAGAGAGGAAAGCGGGGGCCCUUUUCGAAGGCCUCGCGCUGAUGGAUGAGCCUACGUCCGAUUAGCUAGUUGGUAGGGUAAGAGCCUACCAAGGCGACGAUCGGUAGCUGGGUCUUAGCGGAUGAUCAGCCACACUGGGACUGAGACACGGCCCAGACUCCUACGGGAGGCAGCAGUGGGGAAUAUUGGACAAUGGGCGCAAGCCUGAUCCAGCAAUGCCGCGUGUGUGAAGAAGGCCUGCGGGUUGUAAAGCACUUUCAGUAGAGAAGAAAAGCCUAGGGUUAAUACCCCUGAGUCUUGACGUAACCUACAGAAGAAGCACCGGCUAACUCCGUG
rnacentral:rRNA from 1 species